UUUUACUUUCCUUUUAUUUAUUUGUUUAAGUGGCGGAAAAUUUCAAACCAGUCCAGAUUCGAUGGUGGAAAUUGCGAACAAAAAAAAUCCUCUCCUGGAGCUUUUUUCCCGCAAAAAAUUUGGGCAUUUUUGUGAUUACAUAUAACAUAAGGGGGUUUUCUGCAAAAAACAUGCCACGUCGGCACCUGACGGGCGGGCCCCAUCGGUCAGAUACACCGUCAAUACGUAUAAAUAUGCCUUUUAGCCUAAUUUGCAAAAACUUAGACCAAUGUUGGUACUGACACGCAAAAAUUAGCAAUCAUGGUACCAAUCUGCAUGUGAUGCC
rnacentral:rRNA from 1 species